AAUACGGUCUGGCUGAGGACGGCGAAAAUGCUUUACGGCAUUCCUUCGGUUGUUGCCGAACUAGUAAUAUGUGAGCAAGUGACGUUCAAUGAAUAUUCCCUACGUCUAUAUGUUAUACGUUCCAAAGGGUAGUUUUACAAGCGGUUCAGGCGGUGGAAACAAUUUCUUCGUUCUCACUACUCUCUUGCUUAUGUUAUCAAUAUAAGGUGAAUUUAUCAGUAAUCAUUAAUAUGUGAUUUAUUAUAAAAUUUCUAUUAUAUAUUAUGGAAAUGAAAUUGAUUUUCGUGAUCAAUACCAUCAUUAUUAUUAUUUGUUGCUUUUCGGUGAAGGUAUUUCAUAUUUCUUAAAGGCGCGUAAUUAGGUUUAUCUUUGUUACCUACACAAUUGGAUGAGCAAUUGAAUGUCUAUCAUGAGUCUUAACUUAUCUAGGAAUUCUUAACUAUUUAAGAGAUAUAACAGACAAAACGAGGGUGAAAGCAGUUCCAAUAGCCUGGAAAUAUGGCAAAGGAGUCCUAUUGACUUACAUUUGAAUUUAAUUCCAAAGAGUAUAAACGAAAUUCAACUACGCUCAUCGUGGUAAUGAUUUAUUCGACAUCCGAGGUGCAACACAUUUACAUCGGUACUUCCUGUUCUUCCGACCAUAAGUUCUACAUGGAUAGUACAAAUGCUGCGUUUACAGAAAGAUUUUUUGAAGUCCACUAAAGUAUUUCCAUUCAUAAGUGAAUUCAAUUCAAAUCAUCCAUGUGAUAUAAACCCAAAUUGGCGUGAAAAGCACCUAAUUCUUCGGUGUAUGGAAACAACAUGACGCCAUUACUAGCGCAUUCUUAUAGUAACCAUCACCUUUAAUAACAGACUUUAAUAAACGAGAGCGCAUCGGAUUGAGAAAUCGAAAGAGUGGUUCAAGAAGCAAUUCGAAAAUCUAACCAAAGAAAGGACACUUAGCGAUUCCUCAUAUAUCAAGUUCUCUUAAAUCUUCUUAUAUUGAUGUAUUGCAACAUAAUGAUACUAUACAGGUAGAUUUGAUACUGAAUAAUCACUUUUUUACACGUUUGAUUCAUAUCUUCAUUUUUGGGAAGUAGAUUGGAAUUCAAUUUUUACACACAUGUGUUAUAAUCAAGAUAUCCGUAAAUUCGGAUCCUGUGCAAUAAUUAUCAGUUGCUUUCGCCUUUAAUUUGUUUCGUAUAUCUCCAAAAGAAGUCAAAGUUCGUAGUUUAGUUAAGACUUAUCAGAGCUAUUCGUUCAUUUUAAUUGUAUAAUUACCGAUAAGUAUUGUCAGAUGAUGCCAUUUAAGUGCUACAGUAACAUCUAUACACAACAAAAUAAUAAUUAUGAUGAUAUGAAUCAAGAGAAUCAGUUUCAUUGCUCUAAUUUAGGAAUGUAACAUUGCAAUAAUUCUGAUGCAAACGGCAACUACUAAAUUUAAAGAUUAUUGAUGGCGUAAAAGAAUGACGAGUGAGAAUGAUGAGAUUGUUUCUGCCGUUUCAAUUGCUUGUAAAGAUCUUCUUUCGGAUGUAUGACGUAUAGACACCAAGGGAAUGUUUCGCGUGCGGCACUCACUUGCGUAUUACUGGUUCGAAAGCCACCGAAGGAAUGACUUUCCCUGGCGAAUUAAUCUCACAUAAUCCCGUUAGAAGGCCAAGUUUCCCAGAUUCUAAUUCUCUAGCUAGGACGCACUGGAAUAAAAAUUUCCCCUCACCUAUAUCCAUGUAGUUAAAUUUAUAUAUACUUUAUAUGUACACACGAAAAUAUCUCGUAAAUCAGGGAAUUUUCUAAUGAACACUUUACAAAAGUUCGUCCCCGUUUUAAUUGAGAUUAUCACAGAAGACUAUUAUUACUUAUUUUAUAAUUAUUGGAAUUAAUUGUAAAUUCAUAUACGAAAUUUGUAAUGUUUCUUUCAUAAGUUCAAGAUAUAUUUAAAAAUAGUAUUCUAAUAUUAUUGGAUAUUAAUGACAUUUCAAUUUUCGUACUAUGUAAUUUUUAUCGUAAAAUCUUCUGUCGUAAAAAAAUUUUCUCAUCAGAAAUUUUAUCUACUUUCAUAUUCCUUGAAAACUUUUUCUACCAAUUUAUCUACUUUUUUGUAAAAAAGUGCUCGAAGAGCAUGUAAAAGAUAUGGAAGAUUUCGU